UACGAAGGGGACUAGCGUUGUUCGGAAUUACUGGGCGUAAAGGGCUCGUAGGCGGUUUGUCGCGUCGGGAGUGAAAACACCGGGCUUAACUCGGUGCUUGCUUUCGAUACGGGCAGACUAGAGGUAUGCAGGGGAGAACGGAAUUCCUGGUGUAGCGGUGAAAUGCGCAGAUAUCAGGAGGAACACCGGUGGCGAAGGCGGUGGUCUGGGCCGGAACUGACGCUGAGGAGCGAAAGCCAGGGGAGCGAAAGGG
rnacentral:rRNA from 1 species